GGUCUGCUGGCCAGGGAGAUGUGCCGUGCCUCAAGCCCCUUGUGUUCCCCAGUUGCCCUCUGCCUGCUGGGGCUGCUGAGCAGGGAGAAGCCCCGCUGGGAGGUUCCCGCCAUGGCCUUCCUUGUGGAGGUCCUUGACUGCCUGGACAUGACUGAAUGUGGGGA